rnacentral:rRNA from 1 species
CCUUGUACACACCGCCCGUCACACCAUGGGAGUUGGUUUUACCCGAAGCUAGUGUGCUAACCGCAAGGAGGCAGCUAACCACGGUAAGGUCAGCGACUGGGGUG